GACAGAGGGUGCAAGCGUUGUUCGGAAUUAUUGGGCGUAAAGGGCGCGUAGGCGGCUGAGCAAGUCGAAUGUGAAAUCCCUGGGCUUAACCCAGGAAGUGCAUUUGAUACUGCUCAACUUGAGUCCCGGAGAGGGUGGUGGAAUUCCCAGUGUAGAGGUGAAAUUCGUAGAUAUUGGGAGGAACACCGGUGGCGAAGGCGACCACCUGGACGGAGACUGACGCUGAUGCGCGAAAGCGUGGGGAGCAAACGGG
rnacentral:rRNA from 1 species